UGGGGAAUCUUGCGCAAUGGGCGAAAGCCUGACGCAGCAAUGCCGCGUGAGGGAAGAAGGUCUUAGGAUUGUAAACCUCUUUCAGCAGGGACGAAAAUGACGGUACCUGCAGAAGAAGCCCCGGCUAACUACGUGCCAGCAGCCGCGGUAAUACGUAGGGGGCGAGCGUUGUCCGGAAUCAUUGGGCGUAAAGAGCGUGUAGGUGGACUGGAAGGUCUGGUGUGAAAGCCCGGGGCUCAACCCCGGAGGGUCACUGGAAACCAACAGUCUUGAGUCCGGAAGAGGAGAGUGGAAUUCCUGGUGUAGCGGUGGAAUGCGCAGAUAUCAGGAGGAACACCAAUGGCGAAGGCAGCUCUCUGGUACGUGACUGACACUGAGACGCGAAAGCGUGGGGAGCGAACAG
rnacentral:rRNA from 1 species